rnacentral:rRNA from 1 species
AGCGGCGGACGGGUGAGUAACGCGUGGGUAACCUGCCUCAUACACAUGGAUAACAUACCGAAAGGUAUGCUAAUACAAGAUGAUAUAAGAGAUUCGCAUGGAUUUCUUAUCAAAGCUCCGGCGGUAUGAGAUGGACCCGCGUCUGAUUAGCUAGUUGGUAAGGUAACGGCUUACCAAGGCGACGAUCAGUAGCCGACCUGAGAGGGUGAUCGGCCACAUUGGAACUGAGACACGGUCCAAACUCCUACGGGAGGCAGCAGUGGGGAAUAUUGCACAAUGGGCGAAAGCCUGAUGCAGCAACGCCGCGUGAGCGAUGAGGCCUUCGGGUCGUAAAGCUCUGUCCUCAAGGAAGAUAAUGGCGGUACUUGAGGAGGAAGCCCCGGCUAACUACGUGCCAGCAGCCGCGGUAAUACGUAGGGGGCUAGCGUUAUCCGGAUUUACUGGGCGUAAAGGGUGCGUAGGUGGUUUCUUAAGUCAGGAGUGAAAGGCUACGGCUCAACCGUAGUAAGCUCUUGAAACUGGGAAACUUGAGUGCAGGAGAGGAAAGUGGAAUUCCUAGUGUAGCGGUGAAAUGCGUAGAUAUUAGGAGGAACACCAGUAGCGAAGGCGGCUUUCUGGACUGUAACUGACACUGAGGCACGAAAGCGUGGGGAGCAAACAGGAUUAGAUACCCUGGUAGUCCACGCCGUAAACGAUGAGUACUAGGUGU